rnacentral:rRNA from 1 species
AAGCAGUGGGAGCCCCACCACUAAGCCAGUGGUGAACUCCACAUACGCAUCCUUUGCUGAGGAUACGGUUAACGGAGCGAAAGCGACGUUCAACCGCAAAAGAAGCAGAGGGGGCUUAGUGGUGGGGUGACUGCGUACCUUUUGUAUAAUGGGUCAGCGACUUAUAUUCUGUAGCAAGGUUAACCGAAUAGGGGAGCCGGAGGGAAACCGAGUCUUAACCGGGCGUUAAGUUGCAGGGUAUAGACCCGAAACCCGGUGAUCUAGCCAUGGGCAGGUUGAAGGUUGGGUAACACUAACUGGAGGACCGAACCGACUAAUGUUGAAAAAUUAGCGGAUGACCUGUGGCUGGGGGUGAAAGGCCAAUCAAACCGGGAGAUAGCUGGUUCUCCCCGAAAGCUAUUUAGGUAGCGCCUCGUGAAUUCAUCUCCGGGGGUAGAGCACUGUUUCGGCUAGGGGGCCAUCCCGGCUUACCAACCCGAUGCAAACUGCGAAUACCGGAGAAUGUUAUCACGGGAGACACACGGCGGGUGCUAACGUCCGUCGUGAAGAGGGAAACAACCCAGACCGCCAGCUAAGGUCCCAAAGUCAUGGUUAAGUGGGAAACGAUGUGGGAAGGCCCAGACAGCCAGGAUGUUGGCUUAGAAGCAGCCAUCAUUUAAAGAAAGCGUAAUAGCUCACUGGUCGAGUCGGCCUGCGCGGAAGAUGUAACGGGGCUAAACCAUGCACCGAAGCUGCGGCAGCGAACGUAUCACUUAAAGCGAUUCAGCGGGUUACGAUUGACGGAGCGAAGCGACGUCAAAGCGUAUACAAAGUCGAGUCGGUUUAAGGAUACGUUCGUUGGGUAGGGGAGCGUUCUGUAAGCCUGUGAAGGUGGCCUGUGAGGGUUGCUGGAGGUAUCAGAAGUGCGAAUGCUGACA